UGAGCAAUCUGCGCUUCUCAUCGGAAUAAGCGUUGGAAACGACGUCUAAUGCCGAAUACGACCUCCUUUCGCAUGAUCGGAGGUGGAAAGCUCCGGCGGAGAAGGAUGAGCUCGCGGCCUAUCAGCUAGUUGGUGUGGGUAAUGGCCCAUAAGGCGACGACGGGUAGCCGGCCUGAGAGGGUGACCGGCCACACUGGGACUGAGACACGGCCCAGACUCCUAGGAG
rnacentral:rRNA from 1 species